CCAAUCCAUCAUUUUCCCCUUGACUAUUGUCCUCUUGUUAUUAAAAAAAAGAAAACAAAAAAUCUUGUUGCCUUUGCAAGCCUCACGUAGCCCAUUUAUUGUCCAUAACAAAUCCCCAUCACUGGGUCAUAGUCUCAUAGACCACUGUGCCCCCACCCAACUCCACUGUUGACCACUAGGCCAUUCCCCNNNNNNUGCCGCCAAACGCUACCUAGAAUCCUAGUUUUGUUCAGGUCAGGUUUGACCCAAAUUGCUU
rnacentral:misc_RNA from 1 species